rnacentral:rRNA from 1 species
CCGUAGCCCAAGAGAUCGGGAUAACACCUGGAAACAGAUGCUAAUACCGGACAACAACAGAUGAUGCCUAUCAACUGUUUAAAAGAUGGUUCUGCUAUCACUCUUGGAUGGACCUGCGGUGCAUUAGCUAGUUGGUAGGGUAACGGCCUACCAAGGCGAUGAUGCAUAGCCGAGUUGAGAGACUGAUCGGCCACAUUGGGACUGAGACACGGCCCAAACUCCUACGGGAGGCAGCAGCA